UUGUCAGAUGUCUUCCUACCUGUGUUCUCAGUUAUUCCUCGUGGCUCCUUGUGUUUUCCCUUUACUGUGAAAUAGAAAGGAUUGUCGGGGUGUUGGCAAUUUAAGGAAGGCUUGGACUCAUGCUGUGCUGUCAUGUCUCACCAGUCCCCUGUGUAAGAUACCCCCUGUACUGUGUACAGAUCCAGUGACCCGGGCUGACAAAGAGAGGCCCAGUGGGAGUCCCAUGCCCUACUCUCUGCACUACAGGACUUUCUUCUGCCAAUUCCACCUCACUGCCAGCUAAGCCUGCCAGACAGCCACUUCCAGCUCACUUGCCUCACUCCCAGACAUGGACACCUCACCCCUGCAAGCUCUAAAUAAAGUUAUUUUAGACACCUUACCUGUUGGCCUGCAUUUGGGUUCAGCCACGUGUGACAAAUGUGAUGCAUGUAUGAGGUAUUUUACCUGUUUUACAACACACUGGAAAAGUUGUUUUCUUUGGUUUUACUGAAACUUUCCCACAAACAGACUUUUAAGCAUGUAAGAUAAGGUCAGAGCAAUUCUUGCAACAUGUCCUCUAAUGUGUUUUUCAAACAAUCAACCUAAUUGAGCUUAACCUGACACAGAACAUUGCAUGUAAUUUCCACACACUGUUUCCCACCUACACAUUAAACACAGACAUGCCCGGAUGGCUUCAGCAAGAUCUUGGUUACUAUGCAUACUGUUCACAUGCAUCAUUAGCAGCAAGUCAGAUAGUAGUGGGUGGUAUAGCUGUCGAGGAGAGCGGCUUGUUGUCUUCACUUAGCUCCAUCAACAGAAAAGCCAGGAAAACAUGCAGAGAAUAUCAGCAAGAUCACCAAGAUACCUCCCCUGAAAGACAGACAAUGUCAAAUUGUUUUUUCUGUGUCAAAAUCUCUUCAAUUUUCAACACUUCAAAAUCUAAACUAAAUAUGGGAUGCUUCUUUGUUAUGGUUGUUUUUUCAUAGUUUUUGCACGGAUUAAAUAGGUUUUAAUUAUUUAAGCUGUAUAUGAUUUGGACCUAAAAACACAACAUGGUAUU